UUACACACUGAAUUCUUUCAUAACUUUUAUGAUUUAUCACACGAACAUUUUCAGUAGGAUAGAUGGACCAGAAAUGUUGUA